rnacentral:rRNA from 1 species
GACGAACGCUGGCGGCGUGCCUAACACAUGCAAGUCGAACGGAGAUGACUUGUGUUUGCUUCGUGUUGAAGAGGAGCGAAAGGGGGAGUCACGCGGGGCGCAUGAUCCUGACAACGGGGCAAAACAUGUGGAAAUGCCUGAUAAUACCGCAUUACCACAUUAUACAUAAGUGUAAAGUGGCAUAUAUGUAUUUGCAACAGCUAAAGGUGGUCCCUCGGUGUAUUAGGUAGUUGGUGAGGUAAAGGCUCUCCAAGGGGAUGAUACAUAGCCGGCUUGAGAGGAUGAUCGGCCACAUUGGGACUGAGACACGGCCCAGACUCCUACGGGAGGCAGCAGUAGGGAAUCUUCCGCAAGGGGCGAAAGACUGACCGAGAAAUGCCGCGGGAGUGAAGAAGGAUGUCGUGUCGUAAAGCUCGGUUGUUAGAGAAGAACGUGCGUAUGAGUGAUAAGAAGCUGAAGUGACGGUAAUAACCGAAAAAGCAACGGCUAACUACGUG